UACAGAGGGGGCAAGCGUUGUUCGGAAUUACUGGGCGUAAAGGGCGCGUAGGCGGCCGCCUAAGUCAGGCGUGAAAUCCCUCGGCUCAACCGGGGAACUGCGUCUGAUACUGGGUGGCUUGAAUCCGGGAGAGGGAUGCGGAAUUCCAGGUGUAGCGGUGAAAUGCGUAGAUAUCUGGAGGAACACCGGUGGCGAAGGCGGCAUCCUGGACCGGCAUUGACGCUGAGGCGCGAAAGCCAGGGGAGCAAACGGG
rnacentral:rRNA from 1 species